rnacentral:rRNA from 1 species
GACGAACGCUGGCGGCGUGCUUAACACAUGCAAGUCGAACGGAAAGGCCCUGCUUUUGUGGGGUGCUCGAGUGGCGAACGGGUGAGUAACACGUGAGUAACCUGCCCUUGACUUUGGGAUAACUUCAGGAAACUGGGGCUAAUACCGGAUAGGAGCUCCUGCUGCAUGUUGGGGGUUGGAAAGUUUCGGCGGUUGGGGAUGGACGCGCGGCUUAUCAGCGUGUUGGUGGGGUAGUGGCUUACCAAGGCUUUGACGGGUAGCCGGCCUGAGAGGGUGACCGGCAACAUUGGGACUGAGAUACGGCCCAGACUCCUACGGGAGGCAGCAGUGGGGAAUAUUGCACAAUGGGCGGAAGCCUGAUGCAGCAACGCCGCGUGCGGGAUGACGGCCUUCGGGUUGUAAACCGCUUUCGCCUGUGACGAAGCGUGAGUGACGGUAAUGGGUAAAGAAGCACCGGCUAACUACGUG